rnacentral:rRNA from 1 species
AGUGAACGCUGGCGGUAGGCCUAACACAUGCAAGUCGAACGGCAGCACAGUAAGCGCUUGCUCUUACGGGUGGCGAGUGGCGGACGGGUGAGGAAUACAUCGGAAUCUACUUUUUCGUGGGGGAUAACGUAGGGAAACUUACGCUAAUACCGCAUAUGACCUACGGGUGAAAGCAGGGGAUCUUCGGACCUUGCGUGAUUGAAUGAGCCGAUGUCGGAUUAGCUAGUUGGCGGGGUAAAGGCCCACCAAGGCGACGAUCCGUAGCUGGUCUGAGAGGAUGAUCAGCCACACUGGAACUGAGACACGGUCCAGACUCCUACGGGAGGCAGCAGUGGGGAAUAUUGGACAAUGGGCGCAAGCCUGAUCCAGCCAUACCGCGUGAGUGAAGAAGGCCUUCGGGUUGUAAAGCCCUUUUAUUGGGAAAGAAAAGCAGCAGGUUAAUACCCCGCUGUUCUGACGGUACCCAAAGAAUAAGCACCGGCUAACUUCGUG